UUAGAGUUUGAUCCUGGUUCAGGAUGACCUUUGGCGGCGUGCUUAACACAUGCAAGUCGAACGAACCUUCGGGUUAGUGGCGGACGGGUGAGUAACGCGUGGGAAUCUGCCCUCAGGAGGGGGAUAACGGUUGGAAACGACCGCUAAUACCCCAUAUGCCGAGAGGUGAAACGAAAUUCGCCUGAGGAUGAGCCCGCGUCUGAUUAGCUAGUUGGUGGGGUAAAGGCCUACCAAGGCAUCGAUCAGUAGCUGGUCUGAGAGGAUGAUCAGCCACACUGGGACUGAGACACGGCCCAGACUCCUACGGGAGGCAGCAGUGGGGAAUUUUCCGCAAUGGGCGCAAGCCUGACGGAGCAACGCCGCGUGAGGGAUGAAGGCCUCUGGGCUGUAAACCUCUUUUCUCAAGGAAGAAGAACUGACGGUACUUGAGGAAUAAGCCACGGCUAAUUCCGUGCCAGCAGCCGCGGUAAUACGGGAGUGGCAAGCGUUAUCCGGAAUUAUUGGGCGUAAAGCGUCCGCAGGCGGCCUUGAAAGUCUGUCGUUAAAGCGUGGAGCUUAACUCCAUUUCGGCGGUGGAAACUACAAGGCUUGAGUGUGGUAGGGGCAGAGGGAAUUCCCGGUGUAGCGGUGAAAUGCGUAGAUAUCGGGAAGAACACCAGUGGCGAAGGCGCUCUGCUGGGCCAUAACUGACGCUCAUGGACGAAAGCUAGGGGAGCGAAAGGGAUUAGAUACCCCUGUAGUCCUAGCCGUAAAACGGAUGAACACUAGGUGUCGGGGGAAUCGACCCCCUCGGUGUCGUAGCUAACGCGUUAAGUGUUCCGCCUGGGGAGUACGCACGCAAGUGUGAAACUCAAAGGAAUUGACGGGGGCCCGCACAAGCGGUGGAGUAUGUGGUUUAAUUCGAUGCAACGCGAAGAACCUUACCAGGGUUUGACAUCCUGCGAAUCCCUUGGAAACUUGGGAGUGCCUUCGGGAGCGCAGAGACAGGUGGUGCAUGGCUGUCGUCAGCUCGUGUCGUGAGAUGCUGGGUUAAGUCCCGCAACGAGCGCAACCCACGUCUUUAGUUGCCAGCAUUUAGUUGGGCACUCUAGAGAGACCGCCGGUGAUAAACCGGAGGAAGGUGUGGAUGACGUCAAGUCAUCAUGCCCCUUACAUCCUGGGCUACACACGUACUACAAUGCUACGGACAAAGGGUUGCAAACUCGCGAGAGCUAGCUAAUCCCAUAAACCGUGGCUCAGUUCAGAUCGUAGGCUGCAACUCGCCUACGUGAAGGAGGAAUCGCUAGUAAUCGCAGGUCAGCAUACUGCGGUGAAUACGUUCCCGGGCCUUGCACUCACCGCCC
rnacentral:rRNA from 1 species